CAGGGAUGGAGCAGAGCAUGG
rnacentral:miRNA from 1 species